UGAGCUUGAUCCUGGCUCAGGACGAACGCUGGCGGUAUGCCUAAUACAUGCAAGUCGAACGCUGAAGCACUCUGCUUGCAGAGUGUGGAUGAGUGGCGAACGGGUGAGUAACACGUGGGGAACCUGCCCAUAAGAGGGGGAUAACAUCCGGAAACGGGUGCUAAUACCGCAUAGGUGAUCAUAGCGCAUGCUUAGAUCAUUAAAGAUGGCUUCGGCUAUCGCUUAUGGAUGGCCCCGCGGCGUAUUAGCUAGUUGGUGAGGUAAUGGCUCACCAAGGCUGUGAUACGUAGCCGACCUGAGAGGGUGAUCGGCCACACUGGAACUGAGACACGGUCCAGACUCCUACGGGAGGCAGCAGUAGGGAAUCUUCCACAAUGGGCGAAAGCCUGAUGGAGCAAUACCGCGUGAGUGAAGAAGGUCUUCGGAUCGUAAAGCUCUGUUGUUAGAGAAGAACAAGAGGUGUAGUAACUGGCACCUCCUUGACGGUAU
rnacentral:rRNA from 1 species